AUUGAACGCUGGCGGCAGGCCUAAUACAUGCAAGUCGAGCGGAGCGGCGGACGGGUGAGUAAUGCCUAGGAAUCUGCCUGGGGGUGGGGGAUAACGUACGGAAACGGGAGCUAAUACCGCAUAAUCUCAGAUGAGCGUCGGUCGGAUGAGCUAGUUGGUGGGGUAACGGCUCACCUAGGCGACGAUCCAUAGCUGGUCUGAGAGGAUGACCAGCCACACUGGGACUGAGACACGGUCCAGAGUCCUACGGGAGGCAGCAGUGGGUAAUCUUGCACAAUGGGCUAAAGCCUGACGGAGCCAUGCCGCGUGUAUGAAGAAGGUUUGCGGGUUGUAAAGUACUUUCAGCGGGGAGGCGUUACCCACAGAAGAAGCACCGGCUAACGCCGUGCCAGCAGCCGCGGUAAUAC
rnacentral:rRNA from 1 species